GUAGGGAAUAUUGGGCAAUGGAGGCAACUCUGACCCAGCCAUGCCGCGUGCAGGAUGACGGCCCUCUGGGUUGUAAACUGCUUUUAUCCGGGAAUAAACCUGCCUUCGUGAAGGUAGCUGAAUGUACCGGAAGAAUAAGGAUCGGCUAACUCCGUGCCAGCAGCCGCGGUAAUACGGAGGAUCCAAGCGUUAUCCGGAUUUAUUGGGUUUAAAGGGUGCGUAGGCGGCCUGUUAAGUCAGGGGUGAAAGACGGUGGCUCAACCAUCGCAGUGCCCUUGAUACUGAUGGGCUUGAAUGGACUAGAGGUAGGCGGAAUGUGACAAGUAGCGGUGAAAUGCAUAGAUAUGUCACAGAACACCGAUUGCGAAGGCAGCUUACUAUGGUCCUAUUGACGCUGAGGCACGAAAGCGUGGGGAUCGAACAGGAUUAGAAACCCUAGUAGUCC
rnacentral:rRNA from 1 species